GAAUUAAAUAGAUCAGUGCUUGGUAACCAAGCCUUAAAGUGACCCAAAAAAUUUUCUGCGCGCGGCAUGGUCAAAUCUGGCGGGAAAAAUUUGCACGCGAAACGAUAACAAAACUCAGCAAGGAGUCCAGAACUUGAAAAUUGAAAUGAAACAUGGAACCACAACGAUUAAGAACUUUGUUAAUUUGCUCCGCUAUUUGUUUAUUGAUGGGAGAAACAAUGACUAUGUGUGCCAUGCUGAUGCAACUACUUGUUCUGAAACGACAUCAUCAUUCACAAAUGAUAGAAAAUAUGCUUCAACUUGACUUAAAAAUUGCUGAAAUACGACUACUACAGCGCCAGCAGAAAAUAUUAAAGAAAAAGAUACAGCGAAAAAUGCGAAAGAAGGUGCAGAAAAAAGUGAGGAAAUUGUGGAGUAAAUACAUGAACAAAUUGGAUAGCUUGUAAAUACAGUAUGUCAUUUACAAAUUACGUAAAAAGUUCUUGGAGUUUUUCAAAGCAAGCAUUUGUUGUUGUUGUUGUUGUUGUUGUUGUUGUUGUUGUUGUCAUUGACAUUUUUACCAGGGAAUUCACGUUGUGUACUGUCUAUUGAUUCUGGAAAGAACUACUAGAUAAAUUGGACAAUAGAGUCAAGACCUAUAAAGACAACUAGACAAGUGUUCUUAUUAUAUAGUAUCAAAAUUAUAUAGUAUCAAUUACAGUAUCAAUAUUUUAAUACACUCCUGUCGGCCAUGGUCAGUGGCGGCGCCAGGCUUCCAAAUUUGGG